CCUACGGGAGGCAGCAGUAGGGAAUCUUCCACAAUGGACGAAAGUCUGAUGGAGCAACGCCGCGUGAGUGAAGAAGGUUUUCGGAUCGUAAAACUCUGUUGUAAGGGAAGAACACGUACGAGAGUAACUGCUCGUACCUUGACGGUACCUUAUUAGAAAGCCACGGCUAACUACGUGCCAGCAGCCGCGGUAAU
rnacentral:rRNA from 2 species